AAAGAAAAUAGUUCAGCACUAAGUCACUUUGUCUUUAUGGCAAAUGUGAGAUGCAGUGUAUGGAAUGUCUAUUAUCUAAUAUGAGAAAUUAAUGAUUUAAGUCCUUCUUAAAUGAGGCCAUUUACCCAUAGAGGGUGCCAGGCCCGUAUAACGUUAAUGAUUAUUAGAAGAUGUUUCCAAAGAGUCGUGUUGCUUGAUAGUGCAGCACUAAAGUGGGUGGUAAACUCCAUCUAAAACUAAAUAUAACCAUGAGACCGAUAGUAAACAAGUACCGUGAGGGAAAGUUGAAAAGAACUCUGAAUAGAGAGUUAAAUAGUACGUGAAACUGCUUAGAGGUUAAGCCCGAUGAACCUGAAUAUCCAUUAUAGAAAAUUCAUCAUUAUAUUCUAUAAUAUGAAUAAUAUUAUUGAAAUAGUGUGCAUUUUUUCUAUAUAAGGACAUUGUAAUCUAUUAACAUAAUUAUAUAUUUAUCAAAAGAUCAUUUGCUUUAAGUUUAUUCAAAUUAAUUUACUUUUGUAUUUUAACAUAGAAUAAAUGCUUAUGAUUUGAUAAAGUGUUGAUAGAUUUACUUGUAUAUAGUGCUUAAAUUCUUUUGAAUUUUACAAUGGCAUAAUUAUCUUAUGAUAUUUAUGUUUAUAAUUGUAUGCGCUUAUAUGAUUAACAAUGCGAUAGAUUCAGGAUACCUUCGGGACCCGUCUUGAAACACGGACCAAGGAGUCUUAACAUAUGUGCAAGUCAUUGGGAUUAUUUAUUUAAACCCAAAGGCAUAAUUAACUUAACUGUUAUUAAAUGGGAUUAGUUUUUAGUCUAUUUUAUAGUCUAUUAAUUCAAUCCCAGGGGCGUUCUAUACAGUUAUGUAUAAUAAUAUUUAUAUUAUUUAUACCUCUAACUAGAGCGUACCUUGAGCAUUUAUGCUGUGACCCGAAAGAUGGUGAACUAUACUUGAUCAGGUUGAAGUCAGGGGAAACCCUGAUGGAAGACCGAAACAGUUCUGACGUGCAAAUCGANNNNNNNGAUAGAAUAAUGUAGGUAAGGGAAGUCGGCAAAUUAGAUCCGUAACUUCGGGAUAAGGAUUGGCUCUGAAGAUUGAGAUAGUCGGGCUUGAUUGGGAAGCAAUAACAUGGUUUAUGUGCUCGUUCUGGGUAAAUAGAGAUUUAACGAUCUUGUUCCCCGGAUAGUAGUUUACGUAGCCAAUUGUGGAACUUUCUUGCUAAAAUUUUUAAGGAAUUAUAUCAUUAGAUAUAUUCUUUUUAAAUUAUAACGAUUAUCAAUUAACAAUCAAUUCAGAACUGGCACGGACUUGGGGAAUCCGACUGUCUAAUUAAAACAAAGCAUUGUGAUGGCCCUAACGGGUGUUGACACAAUGUGAUUUCUGCCCAGUGCUCUGAAUGUCAAAGUGAAGAAAUUCAAGUAAGCGCGGGUAAACGGCGGGAGUAACUAUGACUCUCUUAAGGUAGCCAAAUGCCUCGUCAUCUAAUUAGUGACGCGCAUGAAUGGAUUAACGAGAUUCCCUCUGUCCCUAUCUACUAUCUAGCGAAACCACAGCCAAGGGAACGGGCUUGGAAUAAUUAGCGGGGAAAGAAGACCCUGUUGAGCUUGACUCUAGUCUGGCAGUGUAAGGAGACAUAAGAGGUGUAGCAUAAGUGGGAGAUAGAUAAUUUUUAAUUAUUUAUCGACAAUGAAAUACCACUACUCUUAUUGUUUCCUUACUUACUUGAUUAAGUGGAACGUGUAUCAUUGCUUAGCCAUUAUACGGAUAUAUUUAUAUGUCUUAUGGUAUUGGGUCUUGAUGCAAGCUUCUUGAUCAAAGUACCACGAGUUUGUUAUAUAAUUGUAAACAAAUAUUAAUGAAAUGAUAGCAUUUCGGUGUUAUUAUUAUAAUUAAAAUUUGGUAUAACUCCAACACUCAGGUAUGAUCCAAUUCAAGGACAUUGCCAGGUGGGGAGUUUGACUGGGGCGGUACAUCUCUCAAAUAAUAACGGAGGUGUCCCAAGGCCAGCUCAGUGCGGACAGAAACCACACAUAGAGCAAAA
rnacentral:rRNA from 1 species